AAAGUACUUCCUCUGUCCCAAAAUUCUUGUCUUAGAUUUGUCUAGAUACGGAUGUAUCAAGUCACAUUUUAUUAUUAGAUACAUCCGUAUCUAGACAAAUCUAAGACAAGAAUUUUGGGACGGAGGGAGUAGUUG
rnacentral:pre_miRNA from 1 species